rnacentral:rRNA from 1 species
CCAGCUUGCUGGGUGCUCGAGUGGCGAACGGGUGAGUAACACGUGGGUGAUCUGCCCCUGACUUUGGGAUAAGCCUGGGAAACUGGGUCUAAUACCGGAUAUGACCUUCUCUCGCAUGGGAGUUGGUGGAAAGCCUUGUGCGGUUGGGGAUGGGCCCGCGGCCUAUCAGCUUGUUGGUGGGGUAAUGGCCUACCAAGGCGACGACGGGUAGCCGACCUGAGAGGGUGAUCGGCCACACUGGGACUGAGACACGGCCCAGACUCCUACGGGAGGCAGCAGUGGGGAAUAUUGCACAAUGGGCGCAAGCCUGAUGCAGCGACGCCGCGUGAGGGAUGACGGCCUUCGGGUUGUAAACCUCUUUCACCAGGGACGAAGCUUUUGUGACGGUACCUGGAGAAGAAGCACCGGCCAACUACGUGCCAGCAGCCGCGGUAAUACGUAGGGUGCGAGCGUUGUCCGGAAUUACUGGGCGUAAAGAGCUCGUAGGCGGUUUGUCGCGUCGUCUGUGAAAUUCUGCAGCUUAACUGCAGGCGUGCAGGCGAUACGGGCAGACUUGAGUACUACAGGGGAGACUGGAAUUCCUGGUGUAGCGGUGAAAUGCGCAGAUAUCAGGAGGAACACCGGUGGCGAAGGCGGGUCUCUGGGUAGUAACUGACGCUGAGGAGCGAAAGCGUGGGUAGCGAACAGGAUUAGAUACCCUGGUAGUCCACGCCGUAAACGGUGGGUACUAGGUGUGGGGCUCAUUUCACGAGUUCCGUGCCGUAGCUAA